UCCCUGGAGGACUAGUGGUUAGGCCCUCAGUGCCACGGCCCGGGUUCGAUUCCCGUCCAGGAAA